GUGCCAGCAGCCGCGGUAAUUCCAGCUCCAAUAGCGUAUAUUAAAGUUGUUGUGGUUAAAAAGCUCGUAGUUGAACCUUGGGCCUGGCUGGCCGGUCCGCCUCACCGCGUGCACUGGUCCGGCCGGGCCUUUCCCUCUGUGGAACCCCAUACCCUUCACUGGGCGUGGCGGGGAAACAGGACAUUUACUUUGAAAAAAUUAGAGUGCUCCAGGCAGGCCUAUGCUCGAAUACAUUAGCAUGGAAUAAUAAAAUAGGACGCGCGGUUCUAUUUUGUUGGUUUAUAGGACCGCCGUAAUGAUUAAUAGGGACAGUCGGGGGCAUCAGUAUUCAACUGUCAGAGGUGAAAUUCUUGGAUCAGUUGAAGACUAACUACUGCGAAAGCAUUUGCCAAGGAUGUUUUCAUUAAUCAGGAAUGAAAGUUAGGGGAUCGAAGACGAUCAGAUACCGUCGUAGUCUUAACCAUAAACUAUGCCGACUAGGGAUCGGACGGUGUUAUUCAUGACCCGUUCGGCACCUUACGAGAAAUCAAAGUGCUUGGGCUCCAGGGGGAGUAUGGUCGCAAGGCUGAAACUUAAAGAAAUUGACGGGAAGGGCACCACCAGGGGUGGAGCCUGCGGCUUAAUUUGACUCAACACGGGGAAACUCACCAGGUCCAGACACAAUAAGGAUUGACAGAUUGAGAGCUCUUUCUUGAUUUUGUGGGUGGUGGUGCAUGGCCGUUCUUAGUUGGUGGGGGUGACUUGUCUGCUUAAUUGCGAUAACGAA
rnacentral:rRNA from 1 species